UUUGCAUAUCUUAUUUCCUGUUUGACCUGAAUGAAGUUUGACUUUUAUUCACCCUUUAUCUUCUUUUCCAGGUAUCAAGAUGACAUCAUUCACCACAGCAAAUGCUUCUGCAGAUGAUAAUGUGGCCUCAUUGUUUGUAAAGAGACCUUCAUCCUGAUGCUUCCAAGUUCUCCAUCAGAAGUUCAUCAGGCAUUGCUGGUUUUUGAUGAUAUUCAACAGGAGGUUUUGCUGGAUUUCUGGGCAAGUGUGUGGAUGAAUACUAAUGAGGAACCGGUGGUUCCUCUUUGACCCUCAACAGUUAUGACAUGCCAUUGGCAUGGCUGGUUAAACAGCACAGCGAGAGGAGAGCCGUGAGCGUGUGAAGAGACCCUUGAAGCCAGGAGAGAGAAGGCGAGGUGGAAAGAUGACGGGGAGAAAGUGAAAAGGAGGCUUCUAGUUCGACUGAUUUUAUUCACAUCUGAAAUUCUCUAAACUAGAACAGGAAGGAAAUGCAUUUAGAUUCCCAUCCAAUCAAGAUCCUCUACGCCUCUUUACCCCCAAGUAAUUUAAAACAUAUUCUUAUGAAAUAAUAGGGAAGAAAUGGAACAUUCUUGAAUUAUUGCAAAAUGAAAAUUGAGAUGCAUUAAAAGAGAAAAAUAAGUCAUUUUCUUUUUGGCAUCUGAACUUAAAAGCUUGUGUCAUUGUGUGCAAAUGUGCAUGAACCAUGUACCUCCUGUUGAAUGAAAACAUAUAACACAAGAUCAGUCUGGAGGGACUGUGAGGAGGGCUAAUUGAAUAAAAAAUGUCAGUAAAACA
ensembl:lncRNA